UUUAUUUAAAUCCACUUAUUUCUCUCUCUCUCUGUCUCCAUUGGAAAUAGCAAGAAGCUUAGAGAUCAGUCCAAGGGGGAACCCACAUGUGGGAUUUUGGCUUUGUCUGAGGCCUGUUGAUCCUGUCUUGCAACCUGACACUUGUCCUCCUGACUUACAACUCGCUUAACAGAAGUCACCCUACGGGUUAAAGUUAACCCGUAAUAACAGCCCAGCCAUGCUAGCAAUUUGGGUGGUUAAGGACCCCCCACACACACAUUUUUCAGCGCAUGCUUUUUGGGAGAGUAUAGCUCAUCGUUAUAAGUAUGGAACCAGGUGUCUGUGCUCAGUUAGCACAGACGUGCAGUCAUUGUGUUACCUGUGUCUCUUGUGACACUCCCCCCCCCAAGUACACAGCAGCAUGAACUGUUCUGUUCGUGGUACCAGCCUGUCAUUUAGGAAUUCCUGCUUCUUUGCUCCUGUGCGAACAGAAAGCUUGGCCAUGAUGUGCUCUUGCUUCUCCACAGAGUCUCCUGGGCAGGAAUGAUGGCUCUGGCCUCCUAUUGUCUAGGCUUCACCAUCUGCAGCAAAACAAACAAACAGACACAGCUCCCUUGUCUCCAGGGUUCUUGCCAGGUUCAGUUCAUUAGCAUGUAAGAAAAGCGCUUUGGGACAGAAGAUGUCAGAGGGAUGCGUAUGAGAUCUGGAUGAGUGCAGGUCAGGCAAUGGUAGCUGAAAUGCUGCUUCCCAAAUAGUGGUAUUGAUGAUCUGAUUGUUUAAAAAAACAAACCCAGUUUCUUUUAUGGCUGGUUGAGUGCAGAACAGUUUUGCUGCUGAUACGGAUGCAAAAUGUUCGCUAGCUGUGCCAUUGAAGUGGAAGUUGUGAUUCUCCCUCCUGCUCCAUUAUAAGGCCGAAUAAAUGGAUUGUGUGGAGUUUCUAAAUUAAACAGUGUUUAGUAAAAAAAAAGGUUUUCCCCUUCAGCCUUUAAUGUUUUGUUUUCUCCUGUUACCUGUUUGAUAGCUUGAGCACCACAGAAAGCAUAGCAGGGAUAGCGAUGAUGGCAGUUUUAAGUCCUCAUCUGUAAAGUGAUGAUGAAAAUGCUGAUUCUUAGGUCUUUGCAAUUUUCUCUCUCACUGAACAAUAUCUGUGCCAAAAAUAUUGGUUAGUAUAUGUGUAGUUUGUGUGUGUGUGUGUGUGUGUGCGCGCUUAAUUUGCUGUUCUUCAGUGACUGGAUCCAUAUAAAUAUUCUGAGUCACUUCUGCUAAACCCUGAUAAAAAGCUGAUGUGAUCUCAUACUUAUUUUAUAUAUCUGCCUACAUGUUGAGCUCAUUCUGUCUCAAGGGCUUAGCAGAGUACGGGAACUUUGUUAGCAUGCUGACAGUAGGACGAAAUGUGUGUGCGCACACGUGCCUUUGUAAUGUUACAUGGAUCAGAUUGCCAAGUGAAAAACUAUCCUCCUUAUCGCCUUGCCUGCAGCCGCCAAAUUUGGUUCAGAUAAAACUUAGCAUAUUAUCUCUGAAGGUGUUCAGACUUUGAGUAGCCAAGGAAUGAGAAGUUGAUGGAGAUGAGGCAGCCACUCAGUCUGGGCACAAGCUUUCUGGACUUUAUACAAACGGAAAAGCCAUGGGUAAUAUAUUGGGUAUUGUAGGAUGAGUGGUGGAUUUUGGGGUCCUCACUUGAACAAACCUUUCAAUUUGUUAUAUAGGGCGUUGGGCACUGAGCACUAUAGUUAAUGCAUGUGCAAAUACCGUUCAAAUCUUAGCAGACUGAUGCCUAACCUUUUUAUAUUUGGAAGUCUUGCCAGCUGUGUUAGGCUUGUGCUAUUGCUUUUGUGUUGAACAUUGGCCAUGCUGGUUGGGGCUGAUGAGUGACACCCAACAACAUCUGGAGUAGCACAGGAUCCAACAACAUCUGGAGUAGCACAGGGUGCUGAGCUGAGGGGCUGCAAAACAACAACAGCAACACCUAUAUUUAUACCUAGCAGUUUGAAAGCACGUCAAAGUGCAAGUAGAUAAAUAGGUACCAUUACAGCGGGAAGGUAAACGGUGUUUCUGUGUGCUGCUCUGGUUCGCCAGAAGCGGCUUUGUCAUGCUGGCCACAUGACCUGGAAGCUGUACGCCGGCUCCCUCGGCCAAUAACGCGAGAUGAGCGCCACAACCCCAGAGUCGGUCACGACUGGACCUAAUGGUCAGGGGUUCCUUUACCUUUCUACCUACUCAAAGUUAGGCCUUGGUCAGAUGGGCGAUUGAGUUGCUGCAACUAUGACCCAGUGCACUUGAGAGCAUUUGCAGAACAGAAGGCAAGAGGGAUGAGAGCAUGAAAAUAAUAAAUUUUGGGAGGGGGCACCUAAUUUUGCCGUCGCUGUGGGCAUAGCUGUCAAGUUCUCCCUUUUUUUUACAAGGGAAAUUCCCUGAUGCAGAAUAGGCUUCCUCGCGAGAAAAGGGAAAACUUGACAGCUAUGGCUGUGGGUGCCAUAUCACCAGAGUCCACCCGUGUCCGGAGGGCAUCUCAUUGGUUACCUCUGCCCUAUGGGAUAUCAUUAAGAGAAUGAGCCACAGAAGACCUUGUGUUUGCAGUGCUCCUCCAGUGCUGCCCCAAGGAGGAAUUUGGAAACUUCCCGUUCUUUUUUAGACUAACUGCAGUUUGCUGUAGCGUCCAAACCCUGACAAGCUGUGGUUAGACUUUGCUAUGUUUAGUAGAAACAAGACAGCUUCAAAACAUGUUUUACAAAGCUGGUUUGUUUCCCUGUCCUUAGAUUGGAUUAACCACGGUUUAGGGUCUGGACAUAACACUAAACUGUGCUUAAUUUAAAACAGAAGUAGAAGUUUCCAAUCUUCUCACAGCCAUGCUAGGGAUGGAGGAGUGUGCCAGCCCAGAUUUCCUGGGGUUCCUUCUUUCAAUGUUAAAUCAUGGCUUAGCGUUGUAUGUGAAAUGGGCUAUUGAUUUCAUUGGGGCUUGACUUCCAAACAAGUGUGCUUAGAUAGGCAAGUGUGCUUAGAAGGCAUCUUCUCAAAAGCAAUACAGUUUUGUUAAUAAUAAUGCUAUGGAGUUGUGAGGAAACUGAGGUGUGAUAAGAGAAGGUGGCUGGAAUAGCUGAGGUAAAAAAAAAAAGAGGGAUGGAGAGGAAGGGGUGGAUAAUCACAAUCCUGUUCAGUAGGGAAACAUGGCCUCUCUGUCUGGCCCUUGGGACUCACCCUAGGCCACAGGCCCUCCUAAGCCAAACCCCUCACCCGUUGUGUUUUGCACCCUCCUCAAGUAGGAGGGUAGGCCCUGAACCAAUGACUUCAAGUUACAAGAAAGGAGAUUCCGGCUAAACAUCAGGAAGAACUUUCUGGCAGUAAUAACUGUUCAACAGUUGAACAGAUUCCCUCGGACUCUGGUGGUGGAUUCUCCUUCACAGGAGGUUUUUACAUGAAUGCUUCAGUUGAGAUGCUUGCAUUGCAAGGGGUUGGACUAGAUGACCUUUGGAUUCCCCUUUAACUCUACAAUUCUAUGAUUCCGUAAGUGUUUUUUUUUUGCCUGGCUGGAAUGUGUCCUUGAGCUCAGAUUAUGCCAGGAUAGAGGUGGGUCUGCGUGUGCGGGCAAAGGCAGGACUGCUGGUACAGAGGUAGAAAUCGCACGAUUGCGCUGCCUCCUUUUGCCUCUGGUUCAACCCACCACUGGCAUGCGGCCCCCAGAAGAUUGCUGAGAGGGAGAUAUGACCCCUGUACUGGAAAACAGUUCCUGAUCCCUGCUGUUCAGGAAAUGGGAGAAUACUGUACACUAUAUUAUGCAUCGCUAAAGGAACGGCCCUCUGCUGUGGCAGGUCUCUUACAGAAGUCAACAAUUACCCACAAUGCUACUGUCCUUAACAGCCUCUGGCAUUUGGGCUGUUACUUACAAGAACAGCUAACAAAACCUGGGAGACUUGGCUGUCUACACACUGCCAAUAGGAAUUGAUAGCAGUAUUUCUACAAGCUGGCAUUUUAGCUCCUAGGUAUUUAAAACUACCCUCUGCUAACCUGUCAAAGGAGAUGGUAGUUUGUUUAUUUUUGGCGUUUUAUGUACCGGCCAAUCAACCGCGUUGUAGUUCUGGGAAAGAGCUCAAAAAGCAAACUACAGUUCCCAGCAUUCUCCAGUUCUUUAGGAGUUCUGUCUUAGAAAAACUGCAGACUCUGCUCUAGUUCUGAUCCCACCCAUGGCUGGCAUGCCGCCUCUGACAGAUUGCCCACAGCGGGAAAAAGGUUUCUCCAGUCCCACCUUGGGAUGAACGGUGCUAAGCCUCUUUCAAUCGAACCAGUUUUAAGUGUGUGCGGUAUGGCUGUGCCUGAAUAAUGGAUUCACAGGGCCCUCCACCCUGAUGGAGAGAGAAAGAGAGAGAGGUUUUGCACAAGCUCAGCAAGACUUGAUUAUUGAAUUUGGAGGCUGCUGUGGUCCCUGUAAAAUUCUUCUUGCAAUCUAGUUCAACCCUCAGUCCUCAUAAUCUAUGUUUUGUUCUUAUUUUGAGUAUCUAUACCCUGCCUUUCAGUUGAAUGAUUCUCUUUUUAAUUUUUUUUAAUUUUAAGGUGACUUAAGAAUAGGCUGUGUUAAUAGCGGGGAUUGAGACCCCAAAACUGGACACAGCUGCGGUCCAGCAAUCCAUAGCUCCCCUGGCUGAUAGAUGGGGCCCAAAUUUGCUUCCCUCUGGCUCUGCAAUGCCAGGGCAAAUGGCAGCUGGAGCUGCGUGUUAUUUCUGGCAGGGAGAAAAGAAGCCAGCUCCUUGCAUCUGGUCCUUCUCUGACUGAUAGAUGAAGCCAGGCUGAAUAUCUCCUUGCUCCGAUUGCCUUCCCCCUCUACAUAACUGACCACUGUGGUCUGCAGGAGAGAGGACCUCCUGUAGAUACCAGUUUCAUCCGGAAGUGUAAGAACAGGUCCUUUAGUGUGGUGGCACCUACACAUUGGAAAUCUCUCCUAGAGAUUCCCGUCUUGGUUGGAAUCUGGCUUGAAAUUGUGUUCUUUUACCCUUGAUACUUUGAAAUGUUGGUUGCUUUGGGUUGUCUCGGGUGGAGUGAUUUGCGAAUGAAGUAAAAAUAAAUAUUAUUCCUUCAGAGGCAGGGGGCGUUAACCUCCCAGUGGGUGGGUCCCCUGGCACAAGGCACAGGCCCGAGUGUCCGUUUCAUCUUCAUAAGGAAGGAUCCAUCAGCCCUCUGAAUUCCCCCUGUUCUGCUAAGUUGGGAGCACUGGCACUUCACUGUUGGGCUCCAGGGAAGCACUGACGUCAACAGGAACAUGUGUGGUAACUUGCCUAAGCUUCCCCUCUAGGCUAUCAAGCCACCCACCCCACCCUCCCUUAUGUUGUAGGGUUCUGGGGGUUGAGAAAUCACUUGGCAGUUUCGCUCCUUUGAAUUCCUUUGCCCUGGAAUACAGAGACGGGAGAGACGAAUAAGUCUGGCACCGGGAAAGCAGAUUGCUGCUGAGGCAGUUUUCUUUGGGUACUUCCUCCACUAAACACAUGAUGUGUGGCUUUUGGGAGGGGUAAAAAACGCAGAAAGCGAUGGUCUCUUUUUAGGUUGAAUCUCUUGUAGGGAUGUCGCUGCUGCAGGAAAGGUGCCCUAUGCUGAAUCAUCCAUAUUAUGGCUGUAACGUGGAGGAGUGUUUUAUUUCUUUUAUUUCAUUUAUAUACUAACCUUUUGUGGACCCAGGUGGCGCUGUGGGUUAAACCACAGAGUCUAGGGCUUGCUGAUCAGAAGGUCGGCGGUUCGAAUCCCUGCAAUGGGGUGAGCUCCCGUUGCUCAGUCCCAGCUCCUGCCCACCUAGCAGUUCGAAAGCACAUCAAAGUGCAAGUAGAUAAAUAGGGACCGCUCCGGCGGGAAGAUAAACAGCGUUUCCGUGUGCUGCUCUGGUUCGCCAGAAGCAGCUUUGUCAUGCUGGCCACAUGACCCGGAAGCUGUCUGUGGACAAAUGCUGGCUCCCUCGGCCUAUAGAGCGAGAUGAGCGCGCAACCCCAGAGUUGGACACGACUGGACCUGAUGGUCAGGGGCCCCUUUACCUUUACCUUAUACUAACCUUUAGUUUUAACUCUGGUAAAUGCCCAAAUGGGAGACAUAUUGGGAAGAAUAUGCACACUGCCUGAAUUUCCGCCAUGAAGGAAACAUGGAAUAUCCAUAGCUCAGUGGCUGGGCACAUGUUUUGCAUGUGAAAAGUUCAAAGUUCAACCCCAACACCUCUAGCUGGGCCAAAAGGAUCCCUACCUGGAGAGCCACUGCCCAUUAUUGUAGACAAUACUGAGUAGAAGGCAUCUAUGGACUGACUGGGGGAUAAGAUAAUUCCAUAGUGGGAUUUAAGUACUAUAAUGAAUUCAGAGUCUUAGUGCUGACCUUUAAAGCCCUAAAUGACUUCAACCCUGUAUAGCUGAAGGAGUGUUUCCACCUCCAUCUUCCAGCGGUUCCCUCAUUGCAAGAAGUGAGGGUACAGGGAACCAGGCAGAGGGCCUUCUUGGUAGUGGUGCCAGCCAUGUGGAAUGCCCUCCCAUCAGAUGUUAAGGAGAUAAAUAACUAUAUACAGUGGUGCCUCUGGUUACGAACGCCUCGGGUUACGUUUUUUUGGGUUAUGAACGUUUUAAACCCGGAAGUGAGUGUUCCGAGCUCUCGGAAGCCUCGCCGCUGUCCGGAACCAAACCCAGACAUCUGUGGGGCCUGUGGAGGCUCCGCAACUGGGCUCCAACAGCGGGAGCUCUUGGAGGCCUCCGCGAAUGCCCGGAGCCAGGCCCCGACAUCCUCAGGAUGCCCAGCAGGUCGCAUCCCAGCCCCAAAGUUAGGUAAGGAACGCUUACCUAAUGAAGACCAAGAGCAGUGAAGCUGUUAAGAAAACAAAAAUUAGCCUGGGCCGAAAAGCCCUUUACCAACCCUUGCCCCACCCCCAGCUGUAGCAAAAUGGGUGGCAUCUAGCCAGGUAAACUCACCUACCCUGUGGGAGGGGGGGGAGUGGUAGAUUUUGUGAUUCUGUAAGGGAUGUUGGGAUUUGUUUCUGUUAGUCUGCUCUGUGCCUUUCUCCCCGCUCUGCUCCUUCAUUUGGGGGAACCUCUGGAGGACUCUGCCUUCUGUCAUUGUUUUGGGAAUCAUGUGGAGCCCAGUUAAGUUACUGGUUGAUUGUGUGACUGCAGAAAUGGAUAAAAACACCCCACCCACACAAUGACUAUCAUCAGUGCAUGUAAGGGGGGGGAUGUUAAUUUUUUCAUCUACAAUACUGUCUUAUUUAUUUUAUAGUACAGUACAUUGAUUAUUGCCUUCAUUUUAUGGAUCGAUGGUCUUGUUAGACAAUAAAAUUCAGGUUAAAUUGUUGUUUUAGGGGGUAUUUUUCAUUGUCUGGAACAGAUCAAUCCACUUUUCCAUUACUUUCAAUGAGAAAGUGCGCUUCAGGUUAAGAAUGCUUCAGGUUAAGAACGGACCUCCGGAACCAAUUAAGUUCUUAACCUGUGGUACCACUGUAGUACCUUGGAAGUAGAAUAGAAUCCGUUCCGGAAGUUCGUUCGAUUUCCAAAAUGUUUGAAAACCAAUGAGAAGCAGCCAAUGAGAAGCUGCGGAAGCCCCGUCAGACGUUCGGGUUCCAAAAGAACGUUUGCAAACUGGAACAAUCACUUCCGGGUUUGCGGCAUUCGGGAACCAAAUCGUCCGAGUUCCAGGGCAUUCAGGAUCCAAGGUACGACUGUACAAUCUUUCGAAGACAUCUGAAAGCAGUCCUGAAUAGGGACGUGUUUAAUGUUUGGUGUUUUAUUAUGCUUUUACAUUUGUUGGAAGCUGCCCAGACUAUCUGGGGCAACCCAAUCAGAUGGGCAGGGUGCAAAUAAUGAUGAUGAUGAUAUCAUCAUCAUCAUCAUCAUCUUCAUCUUCAUCAUUAUCAGACUGCUCUAUAAAUUCUGCCUUCUCAAGUAUGUGUGGAACAUUCUUUUGGAAUUAACCAGGAUGUAUAAGGGUGCAUAAUUAUGCCUGUAUACUCUGUACCAAAUAGAAAUUUUGCUUGCCAGCAAAAAUGAAGAGGGUGGAGCUGUUGUGGCCUUGUUCAGUCCUGUGUGUUUGUAUAAAGGGACUUGCGUCUGAAGCCUGCUUUUGCACCCUGUGGGACGUAAAACAAGAUGCUGCAAUUGGCCCCAAGCUUUGGUGAAAUGUUGCGAAUGGCAAAACCUGCAUUUUGCUGCAUGGCGAAGCAGUAGUACAGACACUUUACUAGCUGGCUGGAAUGCAAAUCAAGCUCGCCUCGCUGAAAAGUGUUUUGUGAAUCGGCUCUCCAUUUGGGUAUGCUAUUGGAAUAACUUGCCCUGCGAACAAUAGAUUCCCUGAGCUUUGUUAUAAUCUGCUCAUGUGUGUGAGCACAGUUCCUCCCACUUCUUGGCUGCCUGUGUGGGAAGGAACUCCCUGGCUGCAAGCCAACAUUUUCUCCCCACCCCCCACCCCCAUACGGAGGCCUCUGUUUUCCAAACAUCCAGCUUCAGACCCCACAAAGGUGGUUGGUGUUGGUGUUCAACUUGGUGAUAAGUCCUGGGUAUGGGUUUCAUUCACUGAGAGUUGGGACACCUAUCUUCAUAUUGUUUCUUCAGCAUCAUUCCUGGGUUUCCUUGUAAACCUGAUCUUUCUCUGAGGGUGUAUGUUAAGAACUUCAAUGGCUCAGAUAAGCAUCAGUAUUCUGUGUAGUCGAUCCUAAGUGCCUUUUGCAAAAGCUUUCACAUACAUAUGUAAAUGUAGACUCUUAUCCGGACUGUUUUUACUGAAGUUGGAAAAGUCUGCUGUAGCAAAAGCGGUCCAUUAGGACUGUCAUACCAUUGCUGGUGGGAGAGUAAACUCUGAGUUUGGAACUACCCCCCCCAAAAAAAAACCCUCUACAAUUUUGACCCCACCCAGAAGUCUGGUGUCAAGGCCAACUGUUACAUAUCAGGGGCGGGCGGGCCCAGUUUUACUUUUAUGUUUUCACAUGCCGCCACCUCAAUGUGUAUUGAAAGGGUGGUCCAGUAGGCAUUGGAGAAAGCAAGUGUUUAUUCUUUUGUUAGGAAGUGGUGCUCAAGGGCCUUGCAUGCAGAAGAUUCAAUUACCUGUUCGUCUCCAAAUAGGGGCUGUGAAUGGUCCCUGCCUGGGACCCCACAGAGCCACUUCUAGUACAUAUAUAGAUAAUGCUGAACCAGGUGAGCUAAUGGUCUGCCUCCUGUAUAUGGCAGCUUCCUUGUUCAUUUUGCAGCUCAGCACUACAGGUGCCUUGGGGUUAGACCUUUCCAACCCCCUCUUUUCUCUACUUUUCUUUUCUGCUGUGCUUAGAAAAGAAGAAAGUGCCCAGGCUGCAGGUUGACAUCCUCUUAGAAAAAGAGUAGACGUGUUUUGAGAGUGUAAACAUGUUUUGAGAAAGAACCCGAUAGCAGCGUUCAAGGUCAAAAUCUGUGAGGCAUCUCCUCAAACAAUCCUGAGGGUUCUUGAAGAAGAAGCAACUGGCAUCCGCUCCCUCCUUUCCCCAAGGACAUGAGAAAUAUAAAUACGAAAGGUUCCACUCCUUUUCAUUGCACAGCUCCUAGUGUGUGAGGUGUUUUAUUAACCAUUUUCUUCUUUAUUGCUACACUUAGCAUCGUAGCUAAGCUUGUGAGCUCUGAACCAGGAUAUCCCCAUUUCGAAUCACUGUUGGCACAUCAUGCUCAGCCAAACUAUGGCAUAUCAUGAAUGCACAGGCUCCUGAGGAGGCAACUGCACCUGUUUGCUUCUCCCUAGGUGUGUGGCAUAGCCAAUAAACCAAGCUUUGGCUUGGCAUGUUGUCCAAACCUGAAACCAUGUGUAAACGUUCUCUUCCAUAACCGUGAUGACCUGUAGCCAAGGUUUGUCCUAUGGUAGAGGUAGUUUAGAGUUUGGCUGCAGUUCUCUGUUUUAAAAAUGAUGGAGGUGCCCACUAGAAAUUCACCCAAACGUUUCAGCCAGAGUCUUUAAAAAAAACACAACCCUGCACAAAACAUUAACACAGUAAAAGCUCUUUUAGGGGGGAAAAACAAAUAUCGCAUUCAAGUCAUGAAACUUUGCUAAAGGAUUUGGUAAGAAACAAACCGAGAAUACGCUGCAAUGUAGGAAUGCAUAUUGAUUGUACGUGAAUAUUCUGCUCAAAAGCAAGCUUAAACAUUAGCUUGGCCCCUAAAUGACUCUCUCCCCAACGCUCUUUCUUUCCCGGAUGUGUUUCCAUGACUCCUGGUUCUUAUGGUUGGAACCUUCCUUAGAUUUUGAUCAGACGAGGCCUUUUGAAAUUUGACAUUGAUCCCACGGAGGGCAAUGCUUUUUGCCCUUUUAGAUCCCAAAACACAGAGCGGUAAGGCUGAAUAGGAUCCAAAUGCCAACCUUUUUUAUUUGUUUUAUGAGGUAAUAACUUGUGUUUACUGCUGUGUUUCUAAGGACUUUCCCUUCCGGGAUCUGGAAGCAGCUCAGAACCUGCUUACCUUCACAGGUAAUAGUGAUAACAUUGGGCCUCUUCAGACCAUUUAAGCCCAACCUCAAACAUGGGACCCAUUGAAGUGCUUUCCUGUGUGUGGAUCUUCUACCACCACCACCACCACCACCCCCGACCCACUUUUUUAUUUCUUUUUAAGAAAACUACAGCAGUGGGAACACUGUGAUUCUCAUCUGAUCAACCCAUGACCCAGUUGCAGGUCACUUGGACACCAGCGAUCUAGGCCAGCUCGCAGCACAGUGCCAGAAACCCUCACCCCCAGAUGUUCCAGACAGAUUUUCAUGUGCGAUUGCAGCCUGUGAUUUCGUUUAUCUGAUGUACAGCCUGCCCGAGGCAGGGGGGAAACGGGUGCAUGGCGUGUUUUGCCAGACAUUGUGAUGGGAAAAGGGCUCUGCUUAGGAAGACAAACUGGCCUGAUUGAAGUGAGUUGUGACUGAACCCACCCUCCUGUUACUUCCAGUCAAUAAGGUGACCGAUUGUGGAGGGCAGGUCUCCUAUAUUUGCACUAUACAUUUGAAGAAGUCGUAUAUAUACCACUUUAAACAGUCAUUGCUCCCCCCCCCAAAGGGUCCUGGGAACAGUAGUGUGUUAAGGGCACCGAGGGUUGUUAGGAGACCCCUGUUUCCCACCCACCCACGGAGUUUCAUUUCCCAAAGUUCCCUGGGAAAAGGACCAAAUAGUUAAACCACUCUGAGAACUGCAGCUCGGUGAGGGGAACCCAACAAUUCUGCUCAGUGCCCUUAAGAAACUACAGUUGGUCUGAUAAUGCUUUGAUAAUGCUUGAUAACGCUUCAGAUGCAGAGGGUACCAGAGAAAAGGAAACUCUGGCAGGUUACAGCCUGCUCUAAACAAGGGAAUCAAAAGCUGCCUUUUGCUGAAAUCUCCGAUCCGCGCAGUGGUUUAAAUGUGUUGGAGCCCUCUCUUCCUGUUACACCUGGUCACCUGCUCUUUCCAAGUUCCGUAGUUUGAUCUGGAGGACGACAAAACAUGGGUGUGGUUCCAUACUGGCAAUUUGGGCCAAUUUCUUUCCCCUUCCUACUUCCAUUGAAGUUUGAGGUGUCCAAAUGCUACACCCUAUGGGGCUGGCAUCUUAGAUGGCUGCGGUGGCCAUUCAUGUGGCUGGCUAGGUGUGGCAGGUAAGUGGCUCAGGUGUUGCCAUCUCCUGGAAUUUCUCUGAAGUGUGGCAAGAGGCAGGAUGUGAAGAGCUAUAAUCUCCCCACUUCUUUGUGACAUAUUAAAAUAACGAUGGCUGGGUUGCAGACUGCAGGCUUGUCCCAAACCCUUCUGGCCCCACCAAAUUUUAAUCAUGGCGUGGCAGUAAAUUUCGUGAGGAAAUGAAGCAAUGAAGUUUCUGUGUGCUUUAUAUUUCAUAUAAAUACGUUUUUGCAUUGCUGUUUUGUGUGCGUCCUAGAACGAAUGUGGGCCUCUGCUAAUCCGGCCCUUGAUUUUUUUAAAAAUAAAAUUGUUCAGUGUAUUCCCUACGAAGCACCUGAAAGUGAUUUCACAAUACAGCAAAACCUUUAUACAGAACAAUUACACAUAUAAAAGCAAUUAAAAAGCAUUACAUAUGUAAAAAAACAGUUAAAACCUAAGGCCUGUCCAGACACGUAGACGUUUGUGUGUGUGUUUUUUACUGCUAAUUUUAAUUAUUUUUGAGGGUGUUUGCUGAUAAUUUUAAUGUUGCUAGCAAACUGCUUAGAUGUUUUAUUGCAGGCAAGUGCUGUAUACAUUUUGUUAAUUAAACUAAUUCACUGAAACAAUAAAUCUGUCUGUCUGUCUGUCUGUCUAUCCAUCUAUCCAUCUGAUAACUUUUAGGGAAAAAGCCACAGCUCAGUGGUAGAGCAACCCCACCAAAUGGGGGGCAUGAAUAAUAAAAUUAUUAUUAUUUCCAUGCAGAAGGUCCUAGGUUCAGGCGGUGGCAUCUCGGGUAUGGCUGGGAGAGAACCCUGCCUGAAACCCCACAGAGCUGCUGCCAGUAAGUAUAGGCAUUAUUGAUCUAGUUGGGCUAAUAGAAUCAUAGAAUUGUAGAGUUAGAAGGGACCACAAGGGACAUUUAGUCCCACCCCUUGCAACUGCACCAGUGGUCUGACUUAAUAUGAGGCAGCUUCAAACGUUAGGAAAUUCUCCAGAUCCUCAGCUGGUCCCUAAUUAUGUGAGCCUCAUAUCCUUGGAAUGUUGGUGUGCCAUUGACGUGACUCGCCUGUUACAUCAUUCUAGAUUCAGGUAGGUAGCCGUGUUGGUCUGAUGCAGUCGAAAUAAAUAAUUUUUAAAAUUGUCCAGUAGCACCUUAGAGACCAACUUAAGUUUGUUCUGGCUGUACGCUCAUUGUUAAAAUUGUGUUUAUGGAAGACAAUCUUACUCGGCUACGAGUGAUCGCCAAAGAGAAGAAGAAGAAGACCCAGAACAAACUUAGUUGGUCUCCAAGGUGCUACUGGACAAUUUUUAUUUAUUUAUUUCGACUGCUACAUCAUGCUCAGCUUUGUCAUAUAUAUAUAUAGAUAGACUUGCUAUCCAUGAGGUGGCUCAGAUUGUUCUGGUUUGAGACCCCAUGUGGUUCCCAGAAAUAUGUCCAUUGCUGCUUGAAUAGCUAAAUCAGUAAAGCAUGAGACUCUUAGACUUGGGGUCUUCGGUUUGAGCUCCACAUUGGGCAAAUGCUUCCUGCAUUGCAGCGGGCUCGACUGGAUGACCCUUGUGGGCCCUUCCAACUCUGCAGUUCUAUGAUCUAUGUAUUAUUGGAGUAUUCAAGACAAGGCACUUUGCCAAGAAACCACCACCUUUCCUCAGUUUGUCCCCUCGCCUUUCCACCUGAAUCUGUCCAUAUUAUGAGUGACCUUGUCUAGCUCUUUUCCUGGGCUGGCUUGAGUCAAGCAGGGUACAGAUUCUUUACCCCCUUAGUGAGUAAAGCACAGGAGUACGGAAGGAAACCAGCUGAGAUAUUUAUCUUUUUGGCCAAUUACGUUGCUGACUGAUGUGUCUGCAGUAAUAGCCCAUCAUGGUUAUGUGGUUUUCCAAAGAAGGAUUGCUGUCUCGGGGGUUAGGAGGGUGGAAAGAUCGCUACUAGUACUAUUGAUCCCCACUUGUAAAUGCUCACUUAGGGGGCACAAUGUAUUGCAGUAAAGCAGAGGUAUGGAAACAUUUGAAAGGAAGUGGCUGUUGCCCGGGGCGGGCAGGGUGGGUGGGUUGGAACUGAUCCAUGCGUAUGGCCAUUAAGGCACGAUAUAUACUUCCCUCUUCCUUGCCUCCCUGCCAGCCCUGUAGGCCAGAGAACCUUCUGUUUUCAUUAAGGUAUUGACAAUCAAAUGUGCAUGUUUGCUGGGAUAAAUUAAUGAGGCCAGAAAGAGCAACAGGGGGCAGAGGCAGGAAACAGGGCUAGCUCAUUGGGAUUUCCGAGCAACUGGCAAAGGCCAUCCUGGAUGUAAAAAAAAUGUUUCGAAAAGAUAAAUAAAGAGCAGAGAAACGUGCAUUACUUGUUUGUUUUAAAUUCUCCCAAUUCCAAAGAUUCUCUCUCUCUCUCUCUCUCUCUCUCUCUCUCUCUCUCUCUCUCUCUCUCUCUCUCUCUCUCUCUCUCUCUCUGUGUGUGUGUGUGUGUGUGUGUGUACAUACCUUCCAACAUUUCUCCAAUGAAAAUGUUGUUGUUGUUGUUUAGUCGUUUAGUCGUGUCCGACUCUUCGUGACCCCAUGGACCAGAGCACGCCAGGCACUCCUGUCUUGCACUGCCUCCCGCAGUUUGGUCAAACUCAUGUUCGUAGCUUCGAGAACACUGUCCAACCAUCUUGUCCUCUGUUGUCCCCUUCUCCUAGUGCCCUCAAUCUUUCCCAACACCAGGGUCUUUUCCAAUGAUUCUUCUCUUCUCCUGAGGUGGCCAAAGUAUUGGAGCCUCAGCUUCACGAUCUGUCCUUCCAGGGAGCACUCAGGGCUGAUUUCCUUAAGAAUUGAUAGAUUUGAUCUUCUAGCAGUCCAUGGGACUCUCAAGAGUCUCCUCCAGCACCAUAAUUCAAAAGCAUCAAUUCUUCGGCGAUCAGCCUUCUUUAUGGUCCAGCUCUCACUUCCGUACAUCACUACUGGGAAAACCAUAGCUUUAACUAUACGGACCUUUGUCGGCAAGGUGAUGUCUCUGCUUUUUAAGAUGUUGUCUAGGUUUGUCAUUGCUUUUCUCCCAAGAAGCAGGCGUCUUUUAAUUUCGGGACUGCUGUCACCAUCUGCAGUGAUCAAGGAGCCCAAGAAAGUAAAAUCUCUCACUGCCUCCAUUUCUUCCCCUUCUAUUUGCCAGGAGGUGAUGGGACCAAUAGGGAUGCCCUAUUAUUCCAUAUUAAUAUUAUUAUUAUUAAUAAUAAUUUUAUUAUUUAUACCCUGCCCAUCUGACGGGGUUGCCCCAGCCACUCUGAGCAGCUAGCAAAAUGAAUUUCAAUAGGGACAAAUGUAAGGUUCUGCAAUUAGGCAGGAAGAACCAGAUGCACAAAUAUAGGACGGGGGAUGCCUGGCUUACUAGCAGUACAGGUGAAAAGGAUCUAGAGCAGGCAUCCCCAAACUGCGGCCCUCCAGAUGUUUUGGCCUACAACUCCCAUGAUCCCUAGCUAACAGGACCAGUGGUCAGGGAUGAUGGGAAUUGUAGUCCAAAACAUCUGGAGGGCCAAAAUUUGGGGAUGGCUGAUCUAGAGGUUUUAUUAGAUUGCAAGCUUAACAUGAGUCAACAGUGUGAUGCAGCGGCAAAAAAAAAGCUAAUGCUAUUCUAGGCCGCCAGUUCAAAUACAAAAACUGAGUUCUGCACAAAGUACAAGUGUCAGCCAAUCUCCAGGAAAGGGGGAGUUCAAGCCUUGAGGGGCUGCUGCCAAGAAUGCCCUUGAAAACCUGUGUGACAGCCUUAGAUCAGUGGCAGAGCAUCUGCUUUGCAUGCAGAAGGUCCCAGAUACAACCUCCAGUGUCUCCCAGUGGGGCAGGCAGAGACACUUGCCCGAAAUCUUGGAGAGCUGCAGUCAGACAAUACUGAGGUGGACAAGCCAGUUCUCUGACUCAGGAAGCUGCCUUGUACCAUGUUCCUUCUUAGUAUACUGAUUAUAUUGUCAAGAACGUGGGGUGAACAGCUUUUAGUUCUGGGGCCACACCUGCCUUACCAAGGCUCCCAGGUCCAAGCAGCCACAUACCAAUAGCAAGAGGGAGAUGCUUGCAGAGAGCCAGUUGGUCUGGUCUGACAGCUUUGGUCUGAGAGACUUUUAUGUGCAGCUCAACCAUCUCUUGCUGAUGCUGCCUAUAGAUUUUGUUCUCUUGCCCAGACUCUUUAUUUGUACAUCAAUUAAAAUGCACCCAGAAUUGAAACUGACUAUUGCCUAGCGCUUACACCAGUUAAACCUGAUAGUUCUUGAGAGUUCGGCUGCCCCAAAGGUGUCUGUGUUCCCCUGCUUAUAUAAUUUAGUAUUUGUUACUUUUGCCUCUAAUUCUUUCCCCUUCUCUCUUUCUCUGACCGCCAUCUCUUCCGCUGCCGUUUCCCGGUUUCCUCUCCUAGGAAUGUUUUGGUAUGUUCCAGCUAAAAAAACUUUAGAAUAAAGACUCCUUAUGGAUUGCGAUAGAAAAUCAAUCGAGAGCCUGUGGGCCGUUGAUGCAAUUAUGGUCUCAUACCUGUCCGAGGCAAUUAAAUAAUGGAAUGGAAACUGAGUAAUGUCAAAUAUCUGGUUCCUUCCUGCGGUACGUGAUUACAGAGGAUCAAAUUAAUUGAAGUCGUGGGCCUGCUAAGUUAGAGUGCUGCGUUUAGGUGAAGACUGGCUGGGGAAUUUGGGAGAGUGAAGGCCCUGAAUCAUUUAGCAUAGGAGCAAUCUGAGAGGCAGUAAAUAAUAUAGUUUGGUUUUAAAAACGCAGUCAUGAGGAACUUGUGCAGAAGAAGACACCAUCCCUCGAGACCUGUUAUAUUUAAACAGGAAGUGUAAUACAGUGGUACCUCGGUUUAUGAACACAAUUGGUUCCGGAAGUCUGUUCAUAAACUGAAGCGUUCAUAAACUGAAGCGAACUUUCCCAUUGAAAGUAAUGGAAAGUGAAUUAAUCCGUUCCAGACGGUCCGCGGAGUACUUAAACUGAAGCGUUCAUAAACUGAAGCGAACUUUCCCAUUGAAAGUAAUGGAAAAUGGAUUAAUCCGUUCCAGACGGGUCUGCGGAGUACUCAACCUGAAGCGUACGUAACCCGAAGCAUGGGUGUAAUUGGUUCCGGAUGUCUGUUCAUAAACUGAAGCGUUCAUAAACUGAAGCGAACUUUCCCAUUGAAAGUAAUGGAAAGUGAAUUAAUCCGUUCCAGAUGGGUCCGCGGCGUUCGUAAACCGAAAAUUCAUAAACCGAGGUGUUCAUAAACCGAGGUUCCACUGUAUUGGCAGAAAGUAUCUGAUACCAAAAUUCCUACUUGAAGUGUUUAUUCAGUGUUUUUUUUAAGAAAAAUACUUUUUAUUCACUUUUCCAAUUAAACAAUAUAAAAAACAAAACAUACAUACACACAAACACAUACAAAAACAAAACCUCAUAAUGAUAUCAUUCCUUUCUCAUCUCAUCUCUUUUUUGCUCUGCCGAGCUCAGACCUCCCUCCCUCCAUACAGCUUUAUUAUUCCACUCCUAUCUCUCAGUCCCUUUUAUAUAUUCAGUCUCACUUCGUAGGUUUUAUUUACUCCACUCUCUCUGGAACUUUGUCUCUUCCUGGUUUCGGAUCCUGCAAGUCAACUUAGCCAGUUCAGCAUAAUCCAUCAUUUUUGUCUGCCACUCCUCAAUCGUUGGUACCUCUUGUGUUUUCCACUUUUGGGCUAAUAAAAUUCUCGCCGCGGUUGUAGCAUACACAAAAAGUCUCUGAUCCCCCUUAGCAAUCUCCUCUCCCAUUAGUACCAAUACAAAUGCUUCAGGUUUUUUGGUGAAAGUGUUUAUUCAGUGUUGGCCCAGGCAUAAAAAGAGAACCCCUGUUUAUUAAUUAUUAGAUUGCAAGCUUAACAUGAGUCAACAGUGUGAUGCAGCGGCAAAAAAAGCUAAUGCUAUUCUAGGCUGCCAGUUCAAAUACAAAAACCAAGUUCUGCACAAAGUACAAGUAUCAGCCAAUCUCCAGGAAAGGGGGAGUUCAAGCCUUGAGGGGCUGCUGCCAAGAGUGCCCUUGGAAACCUGUGUGAUGGCCUUAGAUCAGUGGCAGAGCAUCUGCUUUGCCACUUGAUAAGAAUAUAUUUGCUAGUUCGGAGCACCAGCAUUGUGACCUGUCAAGAUUGAGAUGAGCAGAGCUUUAACUCUUGUUGGUAACCAAUAUAUGGUAUUCAAAUGUGUUUUGCCCCUCAGAGUGGAAGCUUAAUAGAGCUCUCAUGGUAAACAGCUUUUGGGCAGCCUAUUCUUUUACGUACAAUAUGAUCUAUAUGCAAUUUAAUAGCUGUCACAAAGAGGGUGGAGCAAAUUUCUUUUCUAUAGGACCAGAGGGUAGUAUCCAACCAGUGGGUCCAAAUUACAAAAAAGGGGGGGGAUUUCAACUAAACAUGAGUCAGCAGUGUGAUGCAGCAGCAAAGAAAGCUAAUGCUAUUAUUGGCAGCAUCAACAGAAGAAUAGAGUCCAGGUCAAGGGCGCCCCACUCUAUUCUGCCUUGGUCUGACCACAUCUGGAAUAUUGUGUCCAAUUCUGGGCAGCUCAGUUUAGGAAGGAUGUUCACAAGCUGGACCGUGUGCAGAGGACGACAACCAAGAUGAUCAUGGGUCUGGAAACCAAGCCUUAUGUUGUUGUUCUUUAGUCGUUUAUAAGAAUAUAUAAUGGACCAGAGCACGCCAGGCACUCCUGUCUUCCAAUGCAGGUUGGUCAAACUCAAAUUGGUAGCUUCUAUUACUGUCCAACCAUCUCGUCCUUCCUUAUGAGGAACCUUGAAAUAGUAGUUUGCUCUUUUUUAAAAUUAAAAAAUGGCUGAACAAAUAAUCUCUCAGAGGUAUUGUGCCAACCAAAUAGUAUGAUUUUUAACUGGAGAAUAUCUGCCAUGUUUCUUCAGCUGACCUUAAUUUUCCUUGAACCCAUCUGACUGAUAACAGAAAGGUUCUUUUGCGAACCUUUCCCCAACCCAACAAUAUCCUUUGGGAGGUGACCAGAAGUGCGCGCGGUAUUUCAAAUGCAUGCACAAGCUUUUAUCAUUCUUGUGAUACCGUGCGGGGGGAAGGGGGGGUGGAGUUCAAGUGCUGAAUUGCUCAGAGCUGUCAAAGGUACAGGAGUCCUGCCAGGAAGGGAAAAGCAAACAAACAAACCAUGACAACCAUAAUCUUGUACUCUGACUUCUGCUGUUUGCUCCAGGCCUCCCUGCAUGGGUGGGACUUUGGAGUGCUUACGCUGGCAAUCGACUGGCUGCCCGUGGGAUGAAGCUCUUAUAGAUUUAGCGCAAGGAGGGAGAGCCGUUCAGAUCGUUGCUACAAGUUACGGGGAAAACUCCUCCUGAGGAGCAGUGGAAUUCCUCCCCACAGCUCCUCUUUAUUGUAGUGCCAUCAGAAAGAACUGCCUACAGUUCCCCCAAGCAUUUUUUCGUGCACGUGUGUUGGGGGGUAGCAAGCCAAUUUCAGCAAAAAUCAAGGCUGAAGGAUACAAACCACACAUUUCAGGGCAGACAGGCACAACUGUCUCCUUAACUGAAAAGCAAUCGAGUCGUAGAAUUGCAGAGUUGGAAGGGAUCGCAAGGGUCAUUUAGUCCAACCCCCUGCGGGGCAGGAAUCUUUCGCAAAAUGUGGGGCUCAAACCCACAACCCUGAGAUUUAAGAGUGACUGAGCUAUCUGCUUUGGGAGGCUGCAGAUUUUUGAGUGAAGGAGCAUUGUUAGAGGAAGGGGUGCUUAAUUACCGUACUUUUCUGUGUAUAUGACUAUGGUAGGUUUUUUAAACUUUAAAAUAAGGUUUAAAAUCUGGGGGCAUUAUUAAAUAGUGGGUAGACAACACAGCGUUUCUUCAAGAAGCUCUUUAUUCGGAAGCCAAAACAGAACUGAACUGCAUUGCCGAGCCGGCCUGCUUUUAUAGAGGCUGGCUCAAACAAUGUAUCAAACAUAAUUCAAAGUUCCCUCCUAAAACAACUGUCAAGGACCUGAGGACCUGAGGGAAAACUAUAUACACUAAUACAUAACAGGCAUCUUAUACACGGGAAAAUACAGUAUUCCCCUGUGUUCCAUUUCCCCCUGCUUGGUUCACUUCUCAGCACUAACUUAACACAUGCGGUGGGGAUUGGGAGAAGGUUGAAGAAUAAAUAUUAUAUAUAGUGUAUAUAUAUAUAUAAUUUUAUAUUUUAUCCCCACCCCAACACAAGUGGGAAAGCAGCUUGUUGUUAUUGUUAUAUAUUAUUCAUUAAAUGUAUAUCCAAAGAUCAAAGGGCAGUUUAGAGGGUGAUUUGAGAUCAGGAUUUUGCUUGGGAAAAUUUUAAAUUUAUAUACUGCCCUGUACGCACAGGUCUCAGGAAGGUUCACAGGAUAAAAUCACAAAAUGUGCAAUCAAAAUAAAUAAUAAUAAUAAUUUAAUUAUUUGUACCCCGCCCAUCUGGCUGGGUUUCCCCAGCCACUCUAGGCGGCUUCCAACAAAAAUUUAAAAUACAUUAAAAUGUCACACAUUAAAAACUUCCCUGAACAGGGCUGCCUUCAGAUGUCUUCUAAAUGUCAGGUAGUUAUUUAUCUCUUUGACAUCUGAUGGGAGGGCGUUCCAUAAAAACAAAAACAACCAAAUACACCCCCCCCCAAAUAAUAACCAGAGAGGGGAAAUAGAAUUUGAAACACACAAUAUUUGUAACAAAACAUAUACAGUAAAAAUAAGCACCCGUAUAAGUCAAGGAGUAGAUUAAAAGAUCAAUUUAACUUUCAAAUCAAAACGUUUUAGCCAUGGGUUCCCCCCCCCCCAUUUUAACCAUUCAUAGAAGCUCUUUGAUCCAGUGGAGGCUUAUAUAAAGGGAUGCUGGGAGGCAAUUUUCUAUUACUCCCCCUUCCUUCUGCAGUCCUUGCUCCCAUCCCCAAAUCUGAUCCAAGGGUUGGGGAAACCUUUGGGACAGCAUUUGGUGGAAGCAGGGGAGGUGGUUAAGCACCUCCUCCCCUGCUGCUUCUCUAGUCAGAUUGCAGCCUCUUGCACUACUACUUUGCGUUACAAAGAAAAUAAAAUUAGUGAAAGUCUGUGACAUUUUGGCAUCGUACAGGGGCUGAAAGAUAAAACAGGAAGUUCCUGGGUUCUGAUCUGCCACAAAUUUGCUCAGCGGUCUUAGCGGUCUUAAUACUGACUGGUCUUGCAGUGUGUAUUCCCCCUAUUUCCGAUGUUCAUUUGUGAGUGGUGUUGCUGAUGCAGCUGAAACAUCACCACCCAUAUACAUAUUAAGUAGGGCAUUGACAGAUUUGGGAGAACUCCUAAGGAUUGUAGAAGUAUUCCUAGGGGAAACAUUCCCGGGAACCCCCUAAAACAGCCCAAUGGUGACUGGGUAUGCUCAGUGGCCUCUGAAAGCUGGCAGACUGUUUAUGCACAUGGAAAUGGAUGGGGAAAUGGAAUGGAGUUUCCGGGCAACGGGCAUGGCUGAUUAGAACAGUGAACAAGAACACUUGCCACUGCAACAUUUUGUUGCAUGCCCCACGUGCUACGGUAAGCAUGACCCGUUUCCUGCAAAACCUUGGGCUGCGAGAUUCUCAGAAAGACAAAGUCUCCCUGUGUGUGUUUUAAGCCUCACGUCCCAAUUCAUUAAACGGGAGUGCUCGUUAGGGUGGGUGUAUUCGUGGGUGGGCGUGUGAGUAAAAACGAGCCGCUGCCGUUAUUGGCUUUUUGCUUUGACCACGCAGUGACUUUCGCAAACAAGCAGCGCUCCUGUUUCUAUGGAGAGGGACGUGUUCGCGCAGCCUUUAAUUUGGGAGAUGGAGCUAACCUUCUCCUAUGCUUCACAACUCAGUAAGCAGCGCGAAGACAGAUUCUCGGAGACAAUGCUCCUUUUUCUGCCAGCAGAUAUCUAUUUGUGGAAAUGGGUCAGCUUCCUCUUGGUGGACACGUUAGCGCUCCAGUGCCUGGGAGCGCUUGCUUUACAAUUUCUCUCUCCGCGACGCAGGCAGCAGAGCUCCUCUGCAUAACUACUCGUGGCAGCCCAGUGUUUCAUGAAUUGAAGCGAGUUAACCACAAGGAGAGGAUGACAUUUCAAGACAGCGCAGGGUGAAUUCUAAGUCCCGGGCACACGCACACGAGCUGGAUUGCUAUAAAACAAAAGGGGUUGUUGCUUUUUUUAAAAAAAAAAAUAGCAAAUGCAAGCACAGAAACCAUAUAAAGGGAAUCAUGUCGUGUUUAAAACAGCCACGACCAUGGGUUUAUUCCAUUACCUGCACAUACCUUUGGUGGUAACGAAUUCCCACCUGCACUGAUGCUGGGCUUUGGUGUGAUGGUGGCGCGCUGCCCUCAUCUUCCCUGUGGGACAGCCUUUGUUAUUGUUAUCACGUCCCUUCUAUGAAAGCAUUUGAGGGUGAUGUGCAAUAAAAAAUGGCGGAAAUCGGUUAACCACAAUAAUAAUGAAAUAGGCACCAAUGGCAGAGGCCCGAUCCAGCUGGAAAAGCCUUUGAGAAUGAAAACGUCUUCAGUUGUUUCUGGAAAGUGCGGAGAGUAUCUCAACGGCAGUGCUAUCCACCGGGAAAGGGGCAGCCCCACUGAAAGCCCUGCUGAGUUACUAGGGCAGAGGCAGACCCAGCACACUAAAUUACUGUUUCUGCGCCAUUUGCAUUUCUACCUCCUUUUCUGUGGAAUUCAGACAGCCUUCAUCACACUAGAUUCCCAGUAUGCUAGGGAGCAAACUACGGUACGUGCUUGUAUUUGGCAGGAGACGGGGGGGAUGUGCGCUGUCCCUGGUCAUCUCUUUGUUCUAGGGAUCAAACUGAUGUGACUGCCACUAUUGGGGGGUUAUCUAAAAACUCGAGGGUGGCCUUAGUGGUGGUUGAAACAGGUGGAUUUUGAAUACCUGAUGCAGGUUAAGUAGCUAUGCUACCUGCUUCAAAAGUUCAGAGCCUGUUUCCUCCCCCCCCCAUUGUGCUCCAUUACUGUAUUUGUAAAUAGAACGCUUGGUACAUAGACACCUUCAGUGCUCUCUCACCCAGAGGGAAUUAUUCUGGCAGUGCCCUCUGCUCAGGAAAGUUGAGUGUCAAAUGUAUGACAAUAGAAUGGUAUAUCAUCAAAACGGCGCCACAGUUGAGAGCUGCAUUAGAAAAUGGCAACCCAAGCACUAGAUGGGGGGGGGGGAAUGAAAGGCACAAAUACAGGAUGGUUGACACCUGGCUUGAGAGCAGUACAUGUGAAAAGGAUCUAGGAGUCUUGGUAGACCACAAACUUGACAUGAGUCAGCAGUGUGAUGCAGCAGCUAAAAAAGCCAAUGCAAUUCUGGGCUGCAUCAAUAGGAGUAUAGCAUCUAGAUCAAGGGAGGUAAUAGUACCACUGUAUUCUGCUCUGGUCAGACCUCACCUGGAGUACUGUGUCCAGUUCUGGGCACCACAGUUCAAGAAGGAUACUGACAAGCUGGAACGUGUCCAGAAGAGGGCAACCAAAAUGGUCAAAGGCCUGGAAACAAUGCCUUAUGAGGAACGGCUUGGGGAGCUGGGUAUGUUUAGCCUGGAGAAGAGAAGGUUAAGGGGUGAUAUCAUAGUCAUGUUCAAAUAUAUGAAAGGAUGUCAUAUGGAGGAGGGAGAAAUAUUGUUUUCUGCUGCUCCAGAGAUUCCACCUAAACAUUAGGAAGAACUUCCUGACAGUAAGAGCUGUUCGGCAGUGGAAUUUGCUACCAAGGAGUGUGGUGGAGUCUCCUUCUUUGGAGGUCUUUAAGCGGAGAUUUGACGGCCAUCUGUCAGGAAUGCUUUGAUGGUGUUUCCUGCUUGGCGGGGGUUGGACUGGAUGGCCCUUGUGGUCUCCUCCAACUCUAUGAUUCUAUGAUUCUAAGCACUAUUGUACAUAGAGCUUUUCUAAGAAGGCUGCAUCAUUUACAGUGCUUAAAAUUGGUCAUGUAGCCCACAGCAGCUUGGUUCACAUGUUACGGCCAAACAUUUCUACCCCAUUUUGGGCUUAUGAACUGGGAACUAAAUUGGGAAGGGAACGCCCAUACUCAGACAUUCCGAUUCCCCAUCUCAUUUCCUGAUUUGAUCAAAUCACAGUGUGCUGUUAUUUCUAGACUGAGCAAACCACAUGGUUCAUGUAGCAUGGUCAUUUAUUAACAGCCAGAAAAAGAGAGAAAACACAUCACCAAGAGAGAGAGAGAGAGAGAGAGAGAGAGAGAGAGAGAGAGAGAGAGAGAGAGAGAGAGAGAGAGAGAGAGAAAGGAAAGGUGUCACACAUUUGCAUGAACUUUGUAUGCACUGAUGUUUGUGUGUAGAUGCAUAUUAAAUAUAUUUAAACUGGACUUGGGACCAGAGAGCCCUUCAAAAACAGAGGACUGUCCUCUGUCCGGUGGGACACCUCAAGUUUCUGCAAAGCAUUGUUUCCCUUGGUUGGAUGUAAGGGCAACCAUGGUUUGAGCAACCUAGGAAAUGAGGAACAGAAUUGAAAUGCAGUACGUGAGGGGAGGAGAUAAUGGGAGUCUGAGGCUUGGAAACAGACAGACAAACCCAGAAAUAGUUUGCCUCGCCGGGAGAUAUAUAGGGAGGUAGCUUUUAAGAUGAUGGAUGCUUGACAGUACGUCCCUUCCCUCUGCAGCCACUCUAUGUGAUUUCUGCCAAGUUCUCAGUUUUAUAUUAGCUGCUGUUGGCCUAAUUUUGUUGUGACAGCUCCAAACUACAGAGCAGGCUUUUCCUGUGCCAGGGGCUCCUAAAUUUAAGCAGGCAAAAAGCUGUUUUGGACACCCAAGGAGAUUAUUGUGCAAGGCAUAUGGCAGGACUGCAGUAGGGCUAGACUGACUCUCAGCUUGGUGGCUCAACUUUGGUUGCCCCGAGACCCACAAUCUGAAACUUGAUGCCGAAGAAUUGAAGAGCUCUAUUUUCUUACUUUUAUAUUAUUUGAUUAUGUUUACGAAUUGCUUCCCGUGAAAUAUCUCAAGAGUGAUUUCCCAAUGAAAACCUUGCUGUGCUUCAAAAAAACGGAGAUUGUAGAUUGGAAAAGGAUCAGAAAAGGGGGGCUAAGAUGAUCAAUGGGGUUGGAGAGACUCCCCUCUGAGGAAAGGUUGCAGUGUGAGGGCUCUUAGUUUCGAGAAAAAGCGACUUGGAGGCGACAUCAUAGAAGUUUAUAAAGUGGAUGGAGGAAAGGUUUUCUCCCUUGUAAUGUUCGUACUCGUGGACAUUCAACGAAUGUCAGAAGAUUCAGGACAGCUUUUUCAAAAGGACUUCUUCACACUGUGCAUCAUUAAACUGUGGAACUCUCUUGCACAUGAGGCAGUGGCUGCCGCCAUCUUGGAUGGCUGUAGAAGAGGGCAAAUUCAUGGAGGAUAAGGCUAUAAACCUGUUUCUUUUUAAAAAAAUGUAUUUAUUGAAAAUUUUCCAACAUACACAUAUAAAAAUACAAAACACGCAAAUACACACACAUACACAAGACAAAAACAAAAAAAUAUCAAAAACAAAAUAUCUAACUUAAAUCUUAAUCAACACCUUUUGGACUCCCUCAACCUCCCCCCUUGGGUCCCUGUUAAAAUAUUACUUAAACAGUAUUCAUUGUGAUUUUACUAAUCUUGCACAUUAUUUUCUCAAUUCUUUGUUCUUAUCUUCAACCCAUCUUUCAUAUCUUAUUGCAAUCAUCUUUAUCUAAUAUUUCAGAUCAAAUAUUUCUAAUUCCCUUUCUUCAUUCUAUAACUUUUUCCCUUCUGCCUAUAAUUUUUAUUAACUUUUAUGUUAAUAAAAGUUAAUAAACCUGUUUCUUCAGUGGACAUACAAUUCCAUCCAAAGCAAGCAACUGACCAGGAAUCUGAGUGCAAAGAACUGAACAGAGCUCAGAGUCCUUCCACAACACCUCAACUUUCCCCCCUUUCUUCAUUCAAUCCAUGUAAUUUAGGGCAAGAAGGGAUGUCCUUUUUUGCAGCUAUUGUUAAACAAUUGGGAGACAGAAAACCUUAUCGGUCUAUUGUAAGUCGCCCAGAGAUCUACCAACAGGCCCAGAUCUAACUUCUGCCUACCCCAGCCUGUUGGCUUAAUCUGUGCUUCUAGAUGUUUGCAGACUUAACAUUCAGUCAAACUGAUCACCUAUAAUCUUAUGUUCUUAUUAAUUGGUAGAGACUGUCAUGGCAACGACAUGAGGACGCUGGAGCGCUCUUAAGAUAUGUUGACACCACUGCAUCUUACUGAAAAGCCUAAAACCUUUGACUUUUCUAUCUCUGGCAGAUGGUAUAUCACUUUUGUCUGUUUUCCUAAGCGCAGUUAACAUAGAAGCAGUUCCACCGAAAUCAAUCAGUGAUGCUUCUGGACUCGUCUUAAAUUACUAUCUCACCCUGUGUCAAGUAAUGGUUUUCAGCUCUAGAUAAGCAGAACAACUUGGAAGUACCAAAUGGAUUUAAGCACCGCUCACGAGUGGAUUUUGGAAUUGGAAACGAAUUCUGCAAUCUGUUUGGGGCAUGCGGCAAAAAAGGUGACCACAUCAUGUGGUCAGUCUCAGGGGAGGCCAGGCACCCGCUUUGCAUGCUUGCAGUUCUGGGUCGAGGAGCUAAUAUCUGGCGUUGGACACGGACCCUUUUGUCUGAUUCAACACAAGUCUGGCUUAUUCGAGACUUGACUAGAUACCUGCCUCUCUCCUGAGUGUUUUUGCUGUCUACCUUUUCAAAAUGUGUCGGAAGUCACAACUAGGGGUUGCAUGUCAUGGGCACUAAAAUAAUUAAAAUUAUAUACGGAACAAAGCCAGAUUCUGUGCCCUCAAUAGUGGAGGGCUGCAUAGUCGAUUCCGCCCAGAGUGGCUGGGGGAACCCGGCCAGAUGGGCGGGGUAUAAAUAAUAAAUUAUUAUUAUUAUUAUAAUUAAAUUGGCAUAUCUGUGUGCUUAUUUUACAUAUCUUUCAACCUCAUGUCAGUUGUGGGUUGCGGGGGGGGGGGGGCUACGGAGCCCAUCCUUGUUUUCGAAGAUUGGUGCAGGCAAUUAAUUUUAGACUCUGAAUUUUAUGUUCUUAUUAUGGGGGUGGAGGAGUUGCUUUGGAUUCUGUAGCCCCAUCUUUAAAUGGUAAUGUGCAUUAGAAUCAUAGAGUUGGAAGAGACCACAAGGGCCAUCCAGUCCAACCCCCUGCCAAGCAGGAAACACCAUCAAAGCAUUACUGACAGAUGGCUGUCAAGCCUCUGCUUAAAGACCUCCAAAGAAGGAGACUCCACCACACUCCUUGGCAGCAAGUUCCACUGUCGAACAGCUCUUACUGUCAGGAAGUUCUUCCUAAUGUUUAGGACGGUGUAAUCUUCUUUCUUGUAGCUUGAAUCCAUUGCUCCGUGUCCGCUUCUCUGGAGCAGCAGAAAACAACCUUUCACCCUCUUCUAUAUGACAUCCUUUUAUAUAUUUGAACAUGGCUAUCAUAUCACCCCUUAACCUUCUCUUCUCCAGGCUAAACAUACCCAGCUCCCUAAGCCGUUCCUCAUUACUUCACUUAAAAAUGUAGCAAGCUAUCCCUAUUGCAUUCGGGGACCGUCCUGUAUUUUUCUGCUGAGUGGGGCUCUGAAACAUUUUCUUGGCAGUUAGUUCAUGCCUGUUGAUACUGUUUUUAUUCACUUCGUUAGGCACCUUGGACAUUUCUGUGGGGAGGCAUUCCCCCAGUGGGGAUAAGCAUGCUCCAUGGGUACCGACUGCUGGGGAUCUGUUGGCAGUGAUGAUGUACAGCUGGCAGGUUGGAACCAAUAUUGUCCUUGCUGCAGCGGGAACAGGUGGUGCUGCGGUCUAAACCACUGAGCCUCUUGGGCUUGCUGAUCAGAAGGUCGGCGGUUCAAAUCCACACGGCGGAGUGAGCUCCCGUUUCUCUCUCCUAGCUCCUGCCAACCUAGCAGUUCGAAAGCACAUCAGUGCGAGUAGAUAAAUAGGUACCACUGUGGCGGGAAGGUAAAAGGCAUUUGUGCUCUGGUGUUCAGUUGUGCCAGAAGUGGUUUAGUCAUGCUGGCCACAUGACCCGGAAAGCUGUCUGUGGACAAGCGCCAGCUCCCUCGGCCUGAAAGCGAGAGGAGCGCCACACCCCAUAGUUGCCUUUGGCUGGACUUAACCACCCACGGGUCUUUUACCUUUACCUUAUCAGUGCACGCUGCAACUUUUUGUUGCAGGCGCCACAUGUUCACAUUCUUACAACUGCGAUUGAUGUGAAUUAUUUACCUCAUUAAGGCAUCUUAUUCUUCUAAUCCACUCUUCAACCUGAGCGAUCCCAGAGUAGGAUACAAAAUACAUUUAAGAAUACGUACAAUCCUGUAAAACACAAUAAGAGCUCAUUUGGGACAAUAGGAGCAGCUAAAACCACUGAGCCAGGGAAUCAGUCACCAUAGCCCCAAGUCCUCGACAAUGCCUAGGUAAAUAGGUUGGUAUUUACUUGGUGCCAGUAUCGCAAGAGCUUUGAGCACAUGCUACGAAUAAUGUUUAUGUUAUUUAUCUGUGUUAAGACAUCAUGGGAUUGGUGGAGCCACGGCAGAGAGAAAAACAAUUUCUUACUAUUGCUGUCCCUCUUUUCCCUGGACAUUCGUAUGUGUCACGAUGGAAGCACUCCUUUUCAGCAACAAAAAUAACAGAAUCAUAGAAUUGUAGAGUUGGAAGGGACACCGAGGGUCAUCCAGUCCAACCCCCUGCAAUGAAGGAAUCGCAGCUAAAGCAUCCAUGACAGAUUACCACCCAACUUCUGCUUUAAAACCCCCAAGGAAGGAGAGCCCACCACCUCCCAAGCGAGUCCAUUCCACUGUCAAACAGCUCUUGCUGUCAGAAAGUUCCUCCUGAUAUUUCGUUGGAAUCUCCUUUCUUGUAACUUGAAGGGCUGUGGCUUAGUGGACGGGCAUCUGCUCAUGUUCAGUCCUCAGCGUCCUCAUAUUGGAGGCCCUCUGUCUGCAGCUCCGGAGAGAGGUGCUGAAAGCCAGUGUAGGCAUUACUGACCUUGAUGGAACCAGUGGACUCAGGAGCACAGUGUCACAAAAUCACAGCUCCAUCAGGCAAAAUGCCAAUGGUUCUGCAUGCUCUUUGCGGCUAGGGAUGUUACCUGGCACAUGAGAAUCUGGGUUCAAAAUUAUGUCCCAGUUUGAACCAGGAAGAAGUAAGAUUCAUGCCCCCAGAAUGCCCUUUGGGGGGGACUUGUGCCACCUUAAAUUCUGCUACCUGAGCCCCAGCUGAGCCAAGGCUGAGGGACUUAUGCUGGCCUAGCCCCAGUUCAGCUGGUAAAACCCAAGAUCUACUGAAUGCAAACUCUCCUUCUGGGGGAACUUGGAUUUAGAUUGCACUGUCCUAUUAUAAGUUUUGUAGGUACCAGAGCCCAGUAACCCUUUGUCCUUCAACAGCACCCUCCAAAGCAUAAAGGGCAGGUGUAAGCGUAUCAGGUUGUAUUUCCUGGGCUUUGCAAUAUAUUGAUCAGAAGGGAGAACAAACUUAUCUGCUCACUUCAUUUAUCCAAUUUUUCCAGGGGAGAGCACCAUCAGCAGCUGGCUAAGCAAUUUUUUUGCUGCACUCAUCAUCAAAUACAGACUUGAUGUCUCUCCCAGGUUGUUAUGGUCUCUUCACCUACUGGGUCACCAAGACCCAGGGAUGCCUUCUCCACCUCAUUGGCCAGCACUCCACAAGCACACCACUUCUAUAUAUGUCAAGGUUACACAGAGCCAAACAUUCCCACUGCCAGUAAUCUGUUAUGACUCGAUCUCUGCAUUCACUGAAUUCGGUAGUCCUUUUGGUCUGCUGGGGGUGGAUCACUGUGGCAUGCAGUAGGAGCCCUUCCCUAUGUCACUUUGGGGGGGGGGUAAAUGGGGGUUAGUCUGAUGCCCCACUACCGUAUUUACUCUAGUCUAAUGCGCCAUCGAAUCUAAUGUGUGCCUCAAAUUUUCAGAACCUUGAAACCAAAAAAAGUAUUUGCUGGCGAAUGUAAUUGUGCCAUCAAAUCCAAUGCGAACCUUAAUUUUUGCAAUGUAAUUUGGCAAAAAAAAAAAAGGCUGAACAUUAGAUUCAAGUAAAUGUG